GACGUAGGGCGCGAGCGUUGUCCGGAUUUAUUGGGCGUAAAGAGCUCGUAGGCGGCUUGUCGCGUCGACUGUGAAAACCCGCGGCUUAACUGCGGGACUGCAGUCGAUACGGGCAGGCUAGAGUUCGGUAGGGGAGACUGGAAUUCCUGGUGUAGCGGUGAAAUGCGCAGAUAUCAGGAGGAACACCGGUGGCGAAGGCGGAUCUCUGGGCCUUACCUGACGCUCAGGUGCGAAAGCUAGGGGAGCGAACAGG
rnacentral:rRNA from 1 species